rnacentral:rRNA from 1 species
GACGAACCGAGCGAACGUUGUUCGGAAUCACUGGGCUUAAAGGGCGCGUAGGCGGGCUGUCAAGUCUGGGGUGAAAUCCCGCGGCUCAACCGCGGAACUGCCUCAGAUACUGACGGUCUCGAGGGGGGUAGGGGCGAGCGGAACUGAUGGUGGAGCGGUGAAAUGCGUUGAUAUCAUCAGGAACUCCGGUGGCGAAGGCGGCUCGCUGGACCUCUUCUGACGCUGAGGUGCGAAAGCGUGGGGAGCAAACAGG